rnacentral:rRNA from 1 species
AUUGAACGCUGGCGGAAUGCUUUACACAUGCAAGUCGAGCGGCAGCGCGGGGCAACCUGGCGGCGAGCGGCGAACGGGUGAGUAACACAUCGGAACGUACCCUGCCGUGGGGGAUAACACAUCGAAAGAUGUGCUAAUACCGCAUACGACCUGAGGGUGAAAGGGGGGGAUCGCAAGACCUCUCGCGAUAGGAGCGGCCGAUGUCGGAUUAGCUAGUUGGUGAGGUAAAGGCUCACCAAGGCGACGAUCCGUAGCUGGUCUGAGAGGAUGAUCAGCCAAACUGGGACUGAGACAAGGCCCAGACUCCUACGGGAGGCGGCAGUGGGGAAUUUUGGACAAUGGGGGCAACCCUGAUCCAGCCAUUCCGCGUGAGUGAAGAAGGCCUUCGGGUUGUAAAACUCUUUCGGCAGGAACGAAACGGUGGCUUCUAAUACGAGCUGCUAAUGACGGUACCUGAAGAAGAAGCACCGGCUAACUACGUGCCAGCAGCCGCAGUAA